CCUACGGGAGGCAGCAGUGGGGGAUAUUGCACAAUGGGGGAAACCCUGAUGCAGCGACGCCGCGUGUGGGAAGACGGUCCUCUGGAUUGUAAACCACUGUCGCCAGGGACGAAGAUGAGGGUACCGGGGGAGGAAGCGCCGGCUACCUCAGUGACAGCAGCCGCGGUAAGACGUAGGGAGCGAGCGUUGUCCGGAUUUACUGGGUGUACAGGGAGCGUAGGCGGGACUGCAAGUUGGGUGUUAAAUCCACCGGCUCAACCGGUAGCCGCACUCAAAACUGCAGUUCUUGAGUGAAGUAGAGGUAGGCGGAAUUCCUAGUGUAGCGGUGAAAUGCGUAGAUAUUAGGAGGAACACCAGUGGCGAAGGCGGCCUGCUGGGCUUUUACUGACGCUGAGGUUCGAAAGUGUGGGGAGCAAACAGGAUUAGAUACCCCAGUAGUC
rnacentral:rRNA from 1 species